UGUUGGAAGUACCUCCAUGGAGUUAUAGCUGAGCACUCAACAUAAUUUGUAGCAUCUUAUGUGUUUAACGACUGUUAUCAGAAGGUGUCAUGACACACAGCUAUGCUUGCUUGGAAGACCCGCCUUGGAUGUGGAUCAACAGCUUUUCAAUGAUUGCCGAAAAGCAGGUCUGUCAAUUACAACAACCUGUCGCAUAGUGGGUAUCAGUCGCCAAACUUACUACAAUAAAUUCAGAAGUCUGUCAUUUUCACCUGAAGAAAUAGAUGAUGUUGAAUUGACGACUAUCGUUCAGAAACUGAAGGAGGAGAAUAGAAAAUGUGGCGCUAGAUAUGUCAAGGGCCAUCUCACAGCCAACGCCAAGACCGCACCUCGAGAGAAAAUAAGACAAAAACUCCGCGAAAUUGAUCCUGUUGGCACUCUCUUUCGUCAAAGACUGAAGACAGGGAGAGUGAAUUACUUUAGUCCUGGACCAAAUCACGUCUGGCACAUAGAUGGGAACGAGAAAUUAAAAAUGUUUGGAUUGUAUAUCACUGGCUGUGUGGACGGUUAUAGCCGCAAGGCCUUUUACGCUUGUUGUGCCACUAACAAAGAGCAACAACAGUUCUUUAUCCAUUCAAAAGGGCGGUGGAAGAACAUGGUUUUCCUCUCAAGUUCACUUUCAGAUCGCUAUGCAUUAUGAGUACUGAGAGUCGUGGAAUUGUAUUGUAUGAUGGUCUCCCAUAAUUCUACCUAGACUAUUGGUUGUUUUCCUGUACUGUUUCUUUUUAUUCCCUCAGACAGUACGUAUGUAUUUACCUAUUUUUUGUCAAUUUUUUCAAGAAUUAAAAUUUGUUUUAAAAGAAAAUAUGAUUUUUUUUAAUAAUGAACCUGUGAAUAGUUUGAGAGCAGUAACAAAUUGAAUAGAAAAAAACAUCGAUGGACAAAUUCACAUUUAUCUGGAAGGGUUCUGCCUACAUUGAUGUUUAUACUUUCUGGUUAUGUUGUUUUUGACGCACAAAAUGAUUUAUUGAGCACCAGACAUCACAGUAGAAGACAGAAUUCUAAAUUUUAAAAGGCCUAUCUCAGGAUGAAGCAUCUUCUGAGAUGUUUUGAGCGUGUGAGUGAGGAGUAGCCAUCGCACUGCCCUUAACUAUAAUUGUGCCACCAGGAGAAUUUAAAAACGUAUAUACUUCCCAUUAUCUGCAAGCCAACCGUCUCACUCAAAAAUUCAAAUCUUUGCACAGCUAUUACAACCAGAACGAGCUCCAGCUUGUGGCUGUGUGAGUACGAGAACCAUAUUAACGGCCGGCUUAAUUAUUUACGCAUUUUAAUUUUUUUGAUGGCCAUGUUCCAAAUUCAAUCAUAAGCUGCUUCUCGUUGAGGUAUUAUUGCUGGAUCAUUCAGGGCCGGACUGGCCAUUAGGAGACAGCCCAGUAGUCCGGUAAAGGGUUUUUUUUCCUUGCUAGUUUGCAGGUAUAAUUUCCGGAAAGUUUUGAUCGCCCAAGGACUGCUGCCACUGCGGUUGAUGGGCCGGACUGUUGACUCGUUAACAAUUUCUAUUUGAAAAUGGUCGAUUUUUUCGGUGAUUUCAUCGGCAUUCAGCAGCCACAAUUGAUGAGCCGGGGCGGUCCGAACCUUCCAUUUUCUUACUCCCUUUUUUCAAUGCUUGCCAAAAAAAGUCCUUUCACCAAGAGGCUAUUCAUCAUUUAGUAAUGUAACUACUCUUUUACGUUCCUCAUUCAUGAAUAUAAUAAUUAUAGGAUUUUAAAUUCGUAACGAAAUUGUCAUUUUCCGAAAUAAGAAAUGAAAAGUGUCAUCUGAUAAUUUCUCCAACGUGUCUUUUUCAUCAGUAAGUAACAGUCUAUUAAAUGUCAUGAAAAAUUCGAAAUAAUUUUUAAGUGGUUUGUCUGAGGAUAAUAAUACUAAAAAAGAAAGAAAUAAACAUAAAUUUAAAAAAA
rnacentral:lncRNA from 1 species